rnacentral:rRNA from 1 species
UGAUCCUGGCUCAGAACGAACGCUGGCGGCGUGCCUAACACAUGCAAGUCGAGCGCGAAAGGAGCAAUCCGAGUAGAGCGGCGCACGGGUGCGUAACACGUGGAUAAUCUGCCCUUGAAUUCGGGAUAACCUUCCGAAAGGUUGGCUAAUACCGGGUAAGCUCACGGUGACUUCGGUCGCUGUGGGAAAAGUAGACCUCUGUUUACAAGUUUACGUUUGAGGAUGAGUCCGCGGCCCAUCAGCUAGUUGGCGGGGUAAUGGCCCACCAAGGCUACGACGGGUAGCUGGUCUGAGAGGACGAUCAGCCACACUGGAACUGAGACACGGUCCAGACUCCUACGGGAGGCAGCAGUGGGGAAUUUUCCACAAUGGGCGAAAGCCUGAUGGAGCAACGCCGCGUGUGUGAUGAAGGUC